AUGGGCCAGCAGGUCAACCGGUCCUUAACCAACACACUCAACUAUGAACGUCUCGUUCGUGAGGAGUCCAGAAUAAUAUAUGCAGCAGAGAAGCAUCACUUCUUCCCUCACCCAGAGCAGAAGGCACCUGCAGCUGGACUGAGGCAGCUGUUGAACAGAAAUGUGUGGUAUUCGCCACCAGAUUACUGAGAGAGAGAGAAAAAGUCUCAAAACUCUGGAAUCUAAAAUUCACUCUCUCCUACCAAACCCAUCCCAAGCAAACCCAGAGAAACUUCCACUGGGGUGAACUUCAAGCGCGCCCAAGCCUAGUGGAGAUUGUUCCGAGGGGAUGGAAGUGAUGUUUCGAGAACCAAGCC